rnacentral:tRNA from 1 species
UGGGGUGUAGCGCAGUUGGUAGCGCGCGACAUUUGGGAUGUCGAUGCCGGGAGUUCGAGUCUCCCCACUCCAACCA